UUAAAUUGAAGAGUUUGAUCAUGGCUCAGAUUGAACGCUGGCGGCAGGCCUAACACAUGCAAGUCGAACGGUAACAGGAAACAGCUUGCUGUUUCGCUGACGAGUGGCGGACGGGUGAGUAAUGUCUGGGAAACUGCCUGAUGGAGGGGGAUAACUACUGGAAACGGUAGCUAAUACCGCAUAACGUCGCAAGACCAAAGAGGGGGACCUUCGGGCCUCUUGCCAUCGGAUGUGCCCAGAUGGGAUUAGCUAGUAGGUGGGGUAACGGCUCACCUAGGCGACGAUCCCUAGCUGGUCUGAGAGGAUGACCAGCCACACUGGAACUGAGACACGGUCCAGACUCCUACGGGAGGCAGCAGUGGGGAAUAUUGCACAAUGGGCGCAAGCCUGAUGCAGCCAUGCCGCGUGUAUGAAGAAGGCCUUCGGGUUGUAAAGUACUUUCAGCGGGGAGGAAGGGAGUAAAGUUAAUACCUUUNNNNNNNNNNNNNNNNNNNNNNNNNNNNCGGUGGCGAAGGCGGCCCCCUGGACGAAGACUGACGCUCAGGUGCGAAAGCGUGGGGAGCAAACAGGAUUAGAUACCCUGGUAGUCCACGCCGUAAACGAUGUCGACUUGGAGGUUGUGCCCUUGAGGCGUGGCUUCCGGAGCUAACGCGUUAAGUCGACCGCCUGGGGAGUACGGCCGCAAGGUUAAAACUCAAAUGAAUUGACGGGGGCCCGCACAAGCGGUGGAGCAUGUGGUUUAAUUCGAUGCAACGCGAAGAACCUUACCUGGUCUUGACAUCCACGGAAGUUUUCAGAGAUGAGAAUGUGCCUUCGGGAACCGUGAGACAGGUGCUGCAUGGCUGUCGUCAGCUCGUGUUGUGAAAUGUUGGGUUAAGUCCCGCAACGAGCGCAACCCUUAUCCUUUGUUGCCAGCGGUCCGGCCGGGAACUCAAAGGAGACUGCCAGUGAUAAACUGGAGGAAGGUGGGGAUGACGUCAAGUCAUCAUGGCCCUUACGACCAGGGCUACACACGUGCUACAAUGGCGCAUACAAAGAGAAGCGACCUCGCGAGAGCAAGCGGACCUCAUAAAGUGCGUCGUAGUCCGGAUUGGAGUCUGCAACUCGACUCCAUGAAGUCGGAAUCGCUAGUAAUCGUGGAUCAGAAUGCCACGGUGAAUACGUUCCCGGGCCUUGUACACACCGCCCGUCACACCAUGGGAGUGGGUUGCAAAAGAAGUAGGUAGCUUAACCUUCGGGAGGGCGCUUACCACUUUGUGAUUCAUGACUGGGGUGAAGUCGUAACAAGGUAACCGUAGGGGAACCUGCGGUUGGAUCACCUCCUUACCUUAAAGAAGC
rnacentral:rRNA from 1 species